rnacentral:lncRNA from 10 species
GCCGGGUGUGGUGGCUCACACCUGUAAUCCCAGUACUUUGGGAGGCUGAGGUGGGCUGAUCACCUGAGGUCAGGAGUUCGAGACCAGCCUGGCCAUAUGGUGAAACCCUGUCUCUGCUAAAAAUACAAAAAUUAGCCAGGCGUGAUGGCAUUUGCCUAUAAUCCCAGCUACCCAGGAGGCUGAGACAGGAGAAUCAUUUGAACCUGGGAGGUGGAGGUUGCAGUGAGCCAAAGUGGCACCACUGCACUCCAGCCUGGGCAACAGAGUGAGACUCCAUCU